rnacentral:lncRNA from 1 species
UGCUGUUACAAAAUGAUAGAAAUUAUUAUAAAUUAAGGAAUGUAUCUCCCUCAUGCAAAGCUCUGAUUCCUUUCACGGAUUUGGCUUUACUUUCUGGACCUUUUGGAUUAUAGCUCUUCAUCUUUUAUAUAAGCUUUGGAUUUAAAAUAUUUUGGCCACGAGCAUCACUGAAGAGACAUGUAUUGUCGAAAUGCGCAUCUGGUGCA